rnacentral:rRNA from 1 species
UAGGGAAUCUUCGGCAAUGGGGGCAACCCUGACCGAGCAACGCCGCGUGAGUGAAGAAGGUUUUCGGAUCGUAAAGCUCUGUUGUAAGAGAAGAACGUGUGUGAGAGUGGAAAGUUCACACAGUGACGGUAACUUACCAGAAAGGGACGGCUAACUACGUGCCAGCAGCCGCGGUAAUACGUAGGUCCCGAGCGUUGUCCGGAUUUAUUGGGCGUAAAGCGAGCGCAGGCGGUUUAAUAAGUCUGAAGUUAAAGGCAGUGGCUUAACCAUUGUUCGCUUUGGAAACUGUUAAACUUGAGUGCAGAAGGGGAGAGUGGAAUUCCAUGUGUAGCGGUGAAAUGCGUAGAUAUAUGGGGGAUCACCGGUGGCGAAAACGGCUCUCUGGUCGGUAACUGACGCUGAGGCUCGAAAGCGUGGGGAGCAAACAGG